ACGAACGCUGGCGGCGUGCUUAACACAUGCAGGUCGAACGGAAAGGCCCUGCUUUUGUGGGGUGCUCGAGUGGCGAACGGGUGAGUAACACGUGAGUAACCUGCCCUUGACUUUGGGAUAACUUCAGGAAACUGGGGCUAAUACCGGAUAGGAGCUCCUGCUGCAUGGUGGGGGUUGGAAAGUUUCGGCGGUUGGGGAUGGACUCGCGGCUUAUCAGCUUGUUGGUGGGGUAGUGGCUUACCAAGGCUUUGACGGGUAGCCGGCCUGAGAGGGUGACCGGCCACAUUGGGACUGAGAUACGACCCAGACUCCUACGGGAGGCAGCAGUGGGGAAUAUUGCACAAUGGGCGGAAGCCUGAUGCAGCAACGCCGCGUGCGGGAUGACGGCCUUCGGGUUGUAAACCGCUUUCGCCUGUGACGAAGCGUGAGUGACGGUAAUGGGUAAAGAAGCACCGGCUAACUACGUG
rnacentral:rRNA from 1 species